rnacentral:tRNA from 1 species
UCCUUCGUGGUGUAACCGUUAUCACAUUCGGCUCGUAUUCGAGAGGUCCAGGUUCCAGUCCCGGCAAGGGCA